AACGACUCUCGGCAACGGAUAUCUCGGCUCUCGCAUCGAUGAAGAACGUAGCGAAAUGCGAUACUUGGUGUGAAUUGCAGAAUCCCGUGAACCAUCGAGUCUUUGAACGCAAGUUGCGCCCGAAGCCUUUUGGCCGAGGGCACGUCUGCCUGGGUGUCACGCAA
rnacentral:rRNA from 1 species